UACAGAGGUCCCGAGCGUUGUUCGGAUUCACUGGCGUAAGGGUGCGUAGGUGGCGAGGUAAGUCGGAUGUGAAAGCUCGGAGCUCAACUCCGAAAUGGCAUUGGAAACUACCUUGCUCGAGGGUUGGAGGGGGGACUGGAAUGCUUGGUGUAGCAGUGAAAUGCGUAGAUAUCAAGCGGAACACCAGUGGCGAAGGCGAGUCCCUGGACAACUCCUGACACUGAGGCACGAAAGCUAGGGGAGCAAACAGG
rnacentral:rRNA from 1 species